AUGGAUAUUAUCUGGCUUGCGCGGAAGUGUACAGGCAAUGGUUUUGGUGAUGCAUGGCAUUAUCUGGCCAUGGUAUGGGAAUUAUCUGGGGAUUAUCCGGCUAGCAUAUGGGCAGUGUAUCUGAACACUACACGAGCCAUGUAUGGAGGAGCGGCCGCAUGCUCCGGCCGGAGCGAGACGCGGCGCGGAGGGCAACGGACGGAGCGACGAGGCCGACCGAAGCGAGGCGGCGCGGCGCACGUGCGGACGGACUGCCGGCGCUGCAACGGUGGUGACGAAGAGGCCGAGGCCGACGACGAGGGUGCGUCGACCCGCGCAGCCGCCCCCUCUCGCGGCCGCUCCGGGGGCGUGUCGGUGUCGAGCCCCCGAGCGCUACCGGAGAGACGGCGCGACGCCGCCGUGAUGAUGACAAAGAUGGUCCUGCCCGGACUGCGAAACCAGCAGCAGCGUGGUAGCAUGAUAGUAGUACCACACCACGGUGGACGCCAACUGUCGUGGUAUUCUUACGGGGGGCUUGCGAGUCGACAGAGGCCACAAGGGCUUAGUGUGAGGGUAAGACUGCUGCUGAUAGGACCGGGAGCGGGUAUGCGAGUAGCACGCGGUGAUUUACCCAGCUUCGGAGCUCUCCGGAGAGAUAAUACUCCUACUGCUGCAUGUCUGAGUGUAUAUAUCUGGGGUGUACAUCGGGCAGUACAAAGUGCUCCUGGAGCUGUAUCUGGGAUCAGUGCCAAGUGCAUCUGA
rnacentral:rRNA from 1 species